GACGAACGCUGGCGGCGUGCCUAACACAUGCAAGUCGAACGGAAAGGCCCUGCUUUUGUGGGGUGCUCGAGUGGCGAACGGGUGAGUAACACGUGAGUAACCUGCCCUUGACUUUGGGAUAACUUCAGGAAACUGCGGCUAAUACCGGAUAGGAGCUCCUGCUGCACGGUGGGGGUUGGAUAGUUUCGGCGGUUGGGGAUGGACUCGCGGCUUAUCAGCUUGUUUGUGGGGUAGUGGCUUACCCCGGGUUUGACGGAUAGCCGGCAUGAGAGGGUGGCCGGGCACAAGGGGACUAAGAGAGGGAGCAGACGGCAACGGGAGGCAACAGGGGGGAGUAUGACACAGUGAGGGGGAGUGUGAGGCAAAGACGCCGCGUGCGGAAAGAAGGCCUACGGGGGAUAAACCGAUUUCGCCUGUGACGAAGCGUGAGUGACGGUAAUGGGUAAAGAAGCACCGGCUAACUACGUG
rnacentral:rRNA from 1 species